rnacentral:rRNA from 1 species
GAUGAACGCUGGCGGCGUGCCUAAUACAUGCAAGUCGAGCGAACGGACGAGAAGCUUGCUUCUCUGAUGUUAGCGGCGGACGGGUGAGUAACACGUGGAUAACCUACCUAUAAGACUGGGAUAACUUCGGGAAACCGGAGCUAAUACCGGAUAAUAUUUUGAACCGCAUGGUUCAAAAGUGAAAGACGGUCUUGCUGUCACUUAUAGAUGGAUCCGCGCUGCAUUAGCUAGUUGGUAAGGUAACGGCUUACCAAGGCAACGAUGCAUAGCCGACCUGAGAGGGUGAUCGGCCACACUGGAACUGAGACACGGUCCAGACUCCUACGGGAGGCAGCAGUAGGGAAUCUUCCGCAAUGGGCGAACGCCUGACGGAGCAACGCCGCGUGAGUGAUGAAGGUCUUCGGAUCGUAAAACUCUGUUAUUAGGGAAGAACAUAUGUGUAAGUAACUGUGCACAUCUUGACGGUACCUAAUCAGAAAGCCACGGCUAACUACGUG